GGGGAUUUAGCUUAGUGGUGCUGCACCUGCCUUGCAAGCACGAGAUCCUGAGUUCAAUCCCAGGUACCCCA
rnacentral:tRNA from 1 species